UACGGGGGGAGCAAGCGUUGUUCGGAUUUACUGGGCGUAAAGGGCGCGUAGGCGGCCACCGCAAGUCGAUUGUGAAAUCUCCGGGCUUAACCCGGAAAGGUCAACCGAUACUGCGGGGCUAGAGUGCAGAAGGGGCAACUGGAAUUCUCGGUGUAGCGGUGAAAUGCGUAGAUAUCGAGAGGAACACCUGCGGCGAAGGCGGGUUGCUGGGCUGACACUGACGCCGAGGCGCGAAAGCUAGGGGAGCAAACGGG
rnacentral:rRNA from 1 species